GCCAUUUAUUGUUACUGCGGGUGUAAUGUAACAGUGUAAUUUGCGGACAGAUAGCAGGACGCAGGACACACAGCUGGGGUCGCAACGAUCGCCGCAAUCGCCGUAAUCGCUGACCGCCGAGUCGCCGUUAGUCGCUCUAAGUGAUCCCUCGGGCUCUGAGAGUGUGUAGACACGUCCUUCCCCGUCUUGUCCUCUGAGUAAUUAGCUCGACAUUCCUCAAGAAACGAUGGCAACGGCAGGUCGAGUGGUUGUCUACGGAGGAAAAGGAGCGCUUGGAAGCGCGAUUGUCUCUUUUUUUAGGCAGAAACAGUGGUGGGUUGCGUCCGUCGAUCACUUUCCGAACGAAGAAGCUGACGCAAAUGUGGUCGUCCAAUCUUGUGACGCGUGGGCAAACCAACAUGAGCUGGUGCUCCAGGGAGUCGCCAAAGUGCUGCAGGAUGUCAAGAUCGAUGCUCUCAUUUGCGUAGCCGGCGGGUGGGCUGGUGGAAACGCAGCUUCUGCUGAUUAUGUGAAGAACUGCGAUUCUCUUUGGAAGUCCAGUGUUUGGACGUCGGUGAUUGCCUCCAGCCUUGCAUCAAAGCACUUGAAGGAUGGUGGUCUGCUUGCACUGACUGGAGCCAAGGCUGCUCUUGAACCUACACCUGGCAUGAUUGGUUACGGCAUGGCAAAGGCAGCUGUGCACCACCUUGUGCAGAGCCUCGCCGGUAACAAGAGUGGGCUGCCACAAGGGGCAACUGUAGUGGCCAUACUCCCUGUGACCCUGGACACUCCGAUGAACCGAAAAUUCAUGCCCAAGGCCGACUUUUCCUCUUGGACUCCCCUAAACUUUGUGGCUGAGUUGUUCUUCAAAUGGACCACUGGUCAGGAGAGACCAGUCAACGGAAGCCUCAUGAAGUUGGUAACUGAAGGGGGCAAAACCAACGUUUCUGCCUAAUUCAGCCAUUUGUGCCAAUAGCCCAACAAUGGCACCUGAUAUUAAUGAAAUCUCAAGCUCUCAGCUGAAGCAAGAUGUUCUCUAUGCAUUUCAAUUAUGUGAACCAUGUGCAAAAAAUAAAUGUUAAAGGGUUUUUUUCACUACCUAGUCUGUACCAUGUAAGUAUAAAAAAUAAAAUGCACAAAAAUGGACCAUGCAUGCCGUGAUCAUAUUAAACAAAUAGUCCCACAUGCAGAUUAACCACCAACCACUGAUUCUGCUUUGCGAAACACAGGACAUUUUUAUUCAUAAAUUCCAUUCUUCACUCAAAAAAUUUGUGAUUACCUUUGUUAGUGAUGCUCUAGGCUUCUCACCAUUAUGAACAGAUACAUAUUGUUACUAAACUACAUGGAAUGAAAGAUGAAUUGUGGGGUCAGUAUAAGUGGCACAUCUACAUAGCGUACACUGCUUCAUCUAGCCAUGCAUUGCAUUGUUUCAAAAAA
rnacentral:misc_RNA from 1 species